AGUGGCGACUACAUGCAAUCCGGAAGCGGGUGUGGACGUGGGAUGAAGUAACCAGGGAGAUGCAGCAAAUGAAGGAUAUGUAUGCAACACUUAUACAGGCGCACUGAACCGUUACGAACCGUGAUUAUGAACCGUGCUCCUGCGGCGGCUACGUCUGGUGCGGCGGCGCGGCCCGUACCUGGAAAGCGAUCUCCGAAAGCGGCCGAGUGCGUCAUGUGCUGAGAGCUCCGUGAGCGCUGUGUUCUCGCGGCUUCGCUGGCGUUGGAGCGGGAGGCAGCACGCCGGGGCAUUCGCUCGCUGCUGCUGGUGCUACAUCGAGAGCAGGGACGGACGUAGCAACGGUUUUUCCGUUGGGUCGUCUGGCUCUGCGACGAACCAACCGCCGACUGGCAGCUGGGAGGCACUGGAAGCGACGCCAGAGACGCCAGUGUUGGGAACAGGUCCACCAAUGCCACUGGGUCGUCGACACGUUCCGCCGCUUUUCCUGGUGUUGAGCUUCUUUGGGACCUCGGCGGUGACACGAUCAAGGGUGUCAUUGGAAUAAAGGCCAGAAAAGCAUCGGUCACUGUAGAGGUGUUGGAAGUCUUGAGCUGUGCGUUGCACAUGACACAUCGGCGGUCACCACUUUGCCCCAUGUGCACG